rnacentral:rRNA from 1 species
UGGGGAAUUUUGGACAAUGGGCGCAAGCCUGAUCCAGCCAUGCCGCGUGCAGGAUGAAGGCCUUCGGGUUGUAAACUGCUUUUGUACGGAACGAAAAGGUGCCUUCUAAUAAAGGGCGCUCAUGACGGUACCGUAAGAAUAAGCACCGGCUAACUACGUGCCAGCAGCCGCGGUAAUACGGAGGGUGCGAGCGUUAUCCGGAUUUACUGGGUUUAAAGGGUGCGUAGGUGGGCUUAUAAGUCAGUGGUGAAAUCUCCGAGCUUAACUUGGAAACUGCCGUUGAUACUAUAGGUCUUGAAUUAUCUGGAGGUAAGCGGAAUAUGUCAUGUAGCGGUGAAAUGCUUAGAUAUGACAUAGAACACCAAUUGCGAAGGCAGCUUACUACAUAUAAAUUGACGCUGAGGCACGAAAGCGUGGGGAUCAAACA